rnacentral:lncRNA from 1 species
ACUGAGUUUUGUUUACAAGUGCUUGGUAAGGUUUUGGGUACUUUAGGAUGGAAGUUGUGAAGUCUAUGGAUAAUAUUAUCAUGCUCCUGAGCAUCCUUUUAUUCUCUACAGGCAAAUAGCAUAGACAUAAAUCACCUUGCUUCCACAGUGACUAUGAAUCCUUGAAGCUUUAAAGUUUGUGAAGGUUCUUCUAUUUUGUAUGUGUCCUUUCUUUUAAGGCAUAACCCUUUAGAAUUAUGAACUAUAAACUGGGGGUGAUUAUAGGAUCUGACUUCGUUUUUAGGACUUUGAAUGUAUUAGUUUUUACCUUGUACUCUGAAACUGCCAGACCCUUAAUAUGUGCUUUCUUUCUCAGAAGCUGUUUUCUUAGUUGUUUUAUGACUUUUUACUCUGUGUAUGUCCAGUUUAGGAAUUUGUAAAUUUUCGAGGGAGUGUACACAACAGGCCUGGAUUAACUUCCAUGGUUCGAUUUCUCUGCCAUUCUGUCCUCUUAAUUCCUGGUUGCUCUGGUUUACAUGAACUUCAUUAUCUGUUUCUUCAGCUUAGUGGCAACAAUACAAGUUCCAGAUCAUAAUCUCUGAUCCGGCUUCACAACUUGAAGAUAGCAAAUAACUUUUCAGGGAGAAGGCUACUUUGAAAGCAACCUUGGUCAAUGUCUAUAGGGUCUCUACUGUCAAGUUCUGGUACUUUAGUUGCUUUCUUAUGCUUUCAAUCAGUUACAUUUCAGUGUGUUACGCAUUUUGUGACUAUGAAUCAGCUUCCUUUUUUUCAAUCCACUGUGAUACAGGAGAAAUUGAGAUCCUAACUCAUUCAUUCAUUCAUGACAAUGGUGAAUUCACCACAGUCAAUAUGACCUUAGAAUUUGAUCAUUUGGUAACCACUCAGCCUUCCCAACAACCUUGUCGUUGGAAACAUUCUCAGUAGAAACUCCCAAGAUGAAACUGGAUACACUGAUAAUUUUUUCCAUCCGAUUUACCAGGUUUUCUUUAUAAGAUGCAAGCCACAGACAUUAGAAAUAGCCACUCCAACAAGUGAGAGAGCUAAAAUAAUACAUAAAUAAAUAUGAGGAGAUAAAUUCA